CCUACGGGAGGCUGCAGUGGGGAAUAUUGCACAAUGGGGGAAACCCUGAUGCAGCGACGCCGCGUGAGUGAAGAAGUCUUUCGGUAUGUAAAGCUCUAUCAGCAGGGAAGAAAAUGACGGUACCUGAUUAAGAAGCCCCGGCUAACUACGUGCCAGCAGCCGCGGGAAUACGUCGGGGGCACGCGUUAUCCGGAAUUACUGGGUGUAAAGGGGGCGUAGACGGCAGCACAAGUCUGGCGUGAAAUGCCGGGGCUUAACCCCGGAACUGCUUUGGAAACUGUGCAGCUAGAGUGCAGGAGAGGUAAGUGGAAUGCCUAGUGUAGCGGUGAAAUGCGUAGAUAUUAGGAGGAACACCGGUGGCGAAGGCGGCUUACUGGACUGUAACUGACGUUGAGGCUCGAAAGCGUGGGGAGCAAACAGGAUUAGAUACCCUUGUAGUC
rnacentral:rRNA from 1 species